rnacentral:tRNA from 1 species
GGGGCUAUAGCUCAAUGGCAGAGCACUUGCCUAGCAUGUGUGAGGCAUGGGUUCAAUCCCUAGCACCA